GACGAACGCUGGCGGCGUGCUUAACACAUGCAAGUCGAACGAUGAUGCCCAGCUUGCUGGGUGGAUUAGUGGCGAACGGGUGAGUAACACGUGAGUAACCUGCCCCUGACUCUGGGAUAAGCGUUGGAAACGACGUCUAAUACUGGAUAUGACUGCCGGCCGCAUGGUCUGGUGGUGGAAAGAUUUUUUGGUUGGGGAUGGACUCGCGGCCUAUCAGCUUGUUGGUGAGGUAAUGGCUCACCAAGGCGACGACGGGUAGCCGGCCUGAGAGGGUGACGGGCCACGCUGGGACUGAGACACGGCCCAGCCUCCUACGGGAGGCAGCAGUGGGGAAUAUUGCACAAUGGGCGAAAGCCUGAUGCCGCAACGCCGCGUGAGGGAUGACAGCCUUCGGGUUGUAAACCUCUUUUAGUAGGGAAGAAGCGAAAGUGACGGUACCUGCAGAAAAAGCACCGGCUAACUACGUGCCAGCAGCCGCCGUAA
rnacentral:rRNA from 1 species